rnacentral:rRNA from 1 species
AGAAAAUAGAUACCCCGGUAGUCCACGCCGUAAACGAUGGAUGCUAGAUGUUGGGGGUAUUGACCCCUCCGGCGUCGCAGCAAACGCAUUAAGCAUCCCGCCUGGGGAGUACGGCCGCAAGGCUAAAACUCAAAGGAAUUGACGGGGGCCCGCACAAGCGGUGGAGCAUGUGGUUUAAAUUCGACGCAACGCGAAGAACCUUACCUGGGUUAAAUCCGCCGGAACCUGCCAGAGAUGGUGGGGUGUCCUCGGUAAGUACGGUGAGAAGGUGCUGCAUGCUGUCGUCAGCUCGUGUCGUGAGAU